rnacentral:rRNA from 1 species
GCGGCCUAUCAGCUUGUUGGUGAGGUAAUGGCUCACCAAGGCGACGACGGUUAGCCGGCCUGAGAGGGCGACCGGCCACACUGGGACUGAGACACGGCCCAGACUCCUACGGGAGGCAGCAGUGGGGAAUAUUGCACAAUGGGCGAAAGCCUGAUGCAGCGACGCCGCGUGAGGGAUGACGGCCUUCGGGUUGUAAACCUCUUUCAGCAGGGAAGAAGCGAAAGUGACGGUACCUGCAGAAGAAGCGCCGGCUAACUACGUGCCAGCAGCCGCGGUAAUACGUAGGGCGCAAGCGUUGUCCGGAAUUAUUGGGCGUAAAGAGCUCGUAGGCGGCUUGUCACGUCGGGUGUGAAAGCCCGGGGCUUAACCCCGGGUCUGCAUUCGAUACGGGCUAGCUAGAGUGUGGUAGGGGAGAUCGGAAUUCCUGGUGUAGCGGUGAAAUGCGCAGAUAUCAGGAGGAACACCGGUGGCGAAGGCGGAUCUCUGGGCCAUUACUGACGCUGAGGAGCGAAAGCGUGGGGAGCGAACAGGAUUAGAUACCCUGGUAGUCCACGCCGUAAACGGUGGGAACUAGGUGUUGGCGACAUUCCACGUCGUCGGUGCCGCAGCUAACGCAUUAAGUUCCCCGCCUGGGGAGUACGG